AAGUUAAGGUCAAAGGGUUAUCAUGAAAAUUGUAUGUAUGUAAUAUGAUCAAGAUAGUUAUAGGAAAUUGGUCCAGAUAGAACAUUAUACCAAGAAUUGAAAAAAAAGUAACAAAAAGAAGAAAAUAAUAAAAAAUGAACUUUUACAAAAUCAAUAAAUGGGAGUACAGACAAUGUGUUGAAAAAAAAAAAAGAUAAACCUAAAGGGCAAGUUGUUAGGAAAGGGGUACGAGUGAGUGACACUUUUUUUUUUUUUUGCAAAAAGCCAAGGAGUACUAGUGACACUCAUAUAGUAGAAGAAACAACUACAACAAAGAAGAUGCACAAGAAUGCAUUUGUCAAGAUGGAAAGAAACGAAUGCAAUUUUAAAACAAAUUGAUAGUAAUAAUAAAACAGCUGCUGUUGCUAAAAAGGUAGAGAUAUCAAAAAAAAGGAGAAACAUGAAAGAAAAAAAAACAAAAACUGAACAUAAACCAAAGUGCGAAAGAAAGAUAAAACUAGUCGCAUUUUAGCAAGCGUUCAUAUAACAGCCGCCAUAUUGCGUGUUGUCAUCAAAACAACAGCAGCAGCAGUGUGAACGAAUGUGUGUGAUAAAAAAAAGAGAAAAAAAUUUACAUUUUUUGGAAAAUGUUCAAAAUUAAAAAAGUUGUUCUUUUAAAGAAAUGGAAAAUUGUGUAAAAUGUAUGUUUUCUUUAAGAUAAAACUAAUUUCAGCUGGAAAAAAAUACGUUGGUCAAAAAAAAUUAUGAUGUAAUCGAAGAAAUGCCCCACCAGACAUGAAAAGAAUAAAAUGUCAAAAUUCUUUUACACAUACACACACACA